rnacentral:rRNA from 2 species
AUCAUUACACAAUAACAAGGCGGGCUGGACACCCCCCGCUGGGCACUGCUUCACGGCGUGCGCGGCGGGGCCGGCCCUGCUGAAUUAUUCACCCGUGUCUUUUGCGUACUUCUUGUUUCCUGGGUGGGCUCGCCCGCCCUCAGGACCAACCACAAACCUUUUGCAAUAGCAAUCAGCGUCAGUAACAACGUAAUUAAUUACAACUUUCAACAACGGAUCUCUUGGUUCUGGCAUCGAUGAAGAACGCAGCGAAAUGCGAUACGUAGUGUGAAUUGCAGAAUUCAGUGAAUCAUCGAAUCUUUGAACGCACAUUGCGCCCUUUGGUAUUCCAAAGGGCAUGCCUGUUCGAGCGUCAUUUGUACCCUCAAGCUUUGCUUGGUGUUGGGCGUCUUUUGUCUCCAGGUCGCUGGAGACUCGCCUUAAAGUCAUUGGCAGCCGGCCUACUGGUUUCGGAGCGCAGCACAAGUCGCGCUCUUCGCCAGCCAAAGGUCAGCGUCCAGCAAGCCUUUUUUUCAACCUUUGA